rnacentral:lncRNA from 1 species
GUUUUUCUUCUUCCACGGUCCGAUGCCGAGGUCUGAGAUCAAGUUGCUCCCUUCGCCGUUCAUGAUCUGCGAGUUCACGAUCGCGAGAGUUCCGCCCGUCUUCUCCUCCGCCGCGGCGAGCUUCUUCAGCUCUGGGAGCGUCUCCGCGGUGAGGAACACCAUCGCCUUCGCCGCGGGGGUCUUCAGCACGACGACCGCGUCCGAGUCGUCUAUGACUUGCUGUUUCACGUCCGCGUUGUCGUCCCCGCCUACCCUCUUCAGGAACUCUCCCACCAUGGGCGCGACCGCUUGGUCUGUUGGGAAGAAGAGCGAUCGAUCGACCGUCAGCAAAUACUCAUCGGAGCGAUCGACGGACGGAGGGUGCUCACACGAGGAGGAGGAAGAGAGAGGAGGACGACGACGACGCGCGC